GAACCAUGGGACGAAGUGAUCGGGUUUAUGCGUACCCUGGAAAGUCCCCGGGCCUGAGAUUCCGCAGAGAUGCGGCCGCGGAAAACGCGGGUUCACUUCGAACUCCAUCCCUCGGCUGAGACACGCGUGGAGCCCUCGGGAUGCGAGUCGAAGCUCCUAUGGCCGUCCAUCACAGUUAUUCACUUGAUCCAACCGUUGGAUUAACAGAACGGGGCUUACGAUCCCUAUGGUU
rnacentral:RNase_MRP_RNA from 2 species